CAUUUAAUAACCGAGCAAAGAUUCGCCAGUUUCGUUUCAUAUGCAGACGAAAUGAAGGUUUUAAUGCCUAUUUAAGCAUUCUGAAUGGACGUAGUUCGUUUCUUAUGAAAAUAUAUAUUUUAAACUUCGCUAACUGCCAACUGGCGGAAAGAACUGUGGAUUAUUGUGGAUUACUGUGGAUAGGAUUUACUGGACAUUAUGUCGCAAAAUUUCCUGCAGAAGAUUGCGCAGAUUGUUUUAAAAGUGGCUGGGAAUCUCAGUCUUCUAAGAGAUGGUGGAUUAACAAGUGGUGAUGUUUAUGUCUAAACCUGUAAUGAAAGAGGUCUCAUUGGAAAGUAAUAUCUGUGGAACAUGGAUUGAGGUAGUGAGCAAGAAAUUCAGUGGAAAAUUUGCUAUACCAAUGGUUAAUUGGACCC